AUUCUUCUUCAUAGUAUGGGUUAGGUCCUGUGGUGUUCCUGAACCACAGGGUGCAAUGUAAGUAGUCCUCGGGCUGUUCAUCAUGUGGAACCAUUGGCUUCUUCACCUGAAGUUCCAUGUGAAUGUCAGGGUUUAUAUCCAGACUGUACCAGUAUUGUGGCACUCCCCCCUUGAGAAAUGGCAGAUGAGUGGCUGGGUUCAAAGGGUAACAUCUUUGCAGAUUGACAUUACAGGCAAGAGGAGGGAGGUCUGAAGGUGGAGAUGUCUCUGGGAUGAGAGAUGUUUCGUCUGGAGUUGAUUCAGGAUAG